UCCAGACUCCUACGGGAGGCAGCAGUGGGGAAUAUUGCACAAUGGGGGGAACCCUGAUGCAGCGACGCCGCGUGGGUGAAGGAGCACCUCGGUGCGUAAAGCCCUAUCGGCAGGGAAGAAACAGACGGUACCUGACUAAGAAGCCCCGGCUAGCUACGUGCCAGCAGCCGCGGUAAUACGUAGGGGGCAAGCGUUAUCCGGAUUCACUGGGUGUAAAGGGAGCGUAGACGGCGACGCAAGUCUGGAGUGAAAGCCCGGGGCCCAACCCCGGGACUGCUCUGGAAACUGCGGCGCUGGAGUACGGGAGGGGCAGGCGGAAUUCCAGGUGUAGGAGUGAAAUCCGUAGAUAUCUGGAGGAACAUCAGUGGCGAAGGCGACUAUCUGGCACAUAACUGACGCUGGGGAGCGAAAGCGUGGGUAGCAAACAGGAUUAGAUACCCGCGUA
rnacentral:rRNA from 1 species